GAACGCACAUUGCGCCCAUUAGUAUUCUAGUGGGCAUGCCUGUUCGAGCGUCAUUUCAACCCCUAAGCCUAGCUUAUUGUUGGGAGACCGCGGUCAGCCGCGGCUCCUCAAAGUCAGUGGCGGAGAGACGGUGUCCUCUGAGCGUAGUAAAUAACUUUCUCGCUUCUGUCAGGCGCCGGCCCCCUUGCCAUUAAACACCCAAUUUUCUAAUGGUUGACCUCGGAUCAGGUAGGAAUACCCGCUGAACUUA
rnacentral:misc_RNA from 1 species